UGCCUUGAAGCAAAGAGCAGCACCUCUUCUGUCAGAUGCCACACAGUAGCUAUCUGCACACCAGUUCUCUUUCAUAAAAUGUCUGUUAUGGCGACCUCCAGUGGUAAAUAAGGUAUUCAAGCACAAAUCAGGGCUUUAUAAGCCAGAGAUGCCAACCUGUUCAUAUCAUUUUCCAAAACUUCGCAUUCAUCUCGGCAUAAUUCCCGUGGUUUGGGAUGACGGGAACUGUCAUCGCAGAGGG